rnacentral:rRNA from 1 species
GACGAACGCUGGCGGCGUGCUUAACACAUGCAAGUCGAACGGAAAGGCCCUGCUUUUGUGGGGUGCUCGAGUGGCGAACGGGUGAGUAACACGUGAGUAACCUGCCCUUGACUUUGGGAUAACUUCAGGAAACUGGGGCUAAUACCGGAUAUGAUCUCCUGCUGCAUGGUGUGGGUUGGAUAGUUUCGGCGGUUGGGGAUGGACUCGCGGCUUAUCAGCUUGUUGGUGGGGUAGUGGCUUACCAAGUCUUUGACGGGUAGCCGGCCUGAGAGGGUGACCGGGGACAAGGGGACUGAGAGAGGGACCAGAAGCCAAGGGGAGGCAGGAGGGGGGAAUAUUGCAAAAUGGGAGGAAGCCAGAUGCAGAAACGCCGCGAGCGGGAUGACGGGCUUCGGGUUGUAAACCGCUUUAGAAUGAGACGAAGAGUGAGUGACGGUAAUGGGUAAAGAAGCACCGGCUAACUACGUG